UCAUUGGCAGGUGAAUUUGAAAACAUUCAUAGUUAUCCAUAGGACCUUGACGGAGUGUGCAAUUAGUAUUCAUAUAGAUGGUAUUUUAUGUUAAUGAUGAAAGCAUCUGGUUUAGGCUCUUCUAGAGGCAGUGUUGGCAUGUAGAUGAUGAGGAAUUAGGCGAUGAGGAGGAAAUGAUGAAGGCAGAUGACCAAAAGGUCUUAUAGAAGAAGAAGAAGCUUAGAAGUUUGAUACACCAAGCAACUCCAUCUGAAAGUGGAAGAAUCCAAAGGAACUGCGGUCCAGUGGCUGUAUAAAAGAAAAGGACAACGCAUGCUCUCUCUCUCACAGUAGCUCUGUGUUCCUCUCCCCCCAAACCUAAUGGCUUCAGCCCAAUUCAGAGCCUGCUUGGAUCAGGACCUCUUGGAGAUUCGGAGCUCUAGGUGAGAUAAUUUUCCCCAAAUUGUAUUCAAUCUGUGUUGCUUCAUUUCAUUUUCCAUUUUAAUCUAGAAUUGUUGAUAUUUUAGGCGGGUAUUGCAUGUAUAACCACAACAAUUUUUGUGUUGGAUUGGGGUCAAAUUGUCCAACUUUAUUAGCUAUUUGGUCGCCUGUGUAUUUGUAAUAUGAAUAAUAUGAAUUAGGGUUUUUCUGUUAGUGUCCGAUUGGUCAAGAAAUGAUGCUUCUUUUUUGUUAUCAUGCCUAUUUUAGCUGUAAACAUCUGAAAAACUGCUUAAUUGAAGUGAGAUUUCCAGUUUUUGAGCUCAAUUUCAGGUCUUUACCUUUGAAUUUGUUUACAUGUAUCCCUGCUAAAGCUACAUAAUUGUGUUGAAUUUAUUCAACUUAAAUGUGUUUUAUUCAUCCAAUUACAUCUGAAACAACAGGUUCCCGCAGCAACGUGCGGGCAUAUUUUCUCGUUUAUACUAACAUAACCCUAAUGCAUCUUCACAUAAUAAUGUCAUUAGGAUUCCUUAUUGUAUAAGGAUACAAUCUACCAAAUCUCAAUCCAAAUAGGAUAGUAUUAGGAGCCCUUAUUCUCCAAAUAUAACCGAAAUAUAUACUUUACUUGGAAUCCAAGUUAUAGAUUAUAACUAAACCCUAAUCCUACUUACAUUCCAUGUCAAUCCUUAUUAACUAUAUUGAUCUAUUAGCCGUUGAAUUAGAGUCCAACAUCCAACAAGAGGUCGCAUUGUGCAAUGGGAACCGCAAAGGGAAGUUUUGGUUCAUACCACGGUGGGUGUGUUUUGGAGCCAUUGUGGUUGGAACUCAACCCUAGAAAGUUUAUCGGAAGGGGUUCCAAUGUUAUGCCAGCCCUGUUUUAGCGAUCGAAAGGUGCAUGCAAGGUAUGUGAACCAAGUUUGGAGAGUAGGGUUUCAAUUGGAGGAUAAGUUAGAGAAAGGAGAGAUAGAAAGAGCUAUUAAAAAACUUAUGGCAGAUGACGAUGGGAAGGAAA